AUUGAACGCUGGCGGCAUGCCUUACACAUGCAAGUCGAACGCGAAAGUAGGGGCAACCCUGCGAGUAGAGUGGCGAACAGGUGAGUAGUGCAUCGGAACAUUUCCAGUAGCGGGGGAUAACCUCGAGAAAUCGAGGCUAAUACCGCAUACGUCCUACGGGAGAAAGCGGGGGACCGCAAGGCCUCGCACUAUUGGAGUGGCCGAUGCCGGAUUAGCUAGUUGGCGGGGUAAAAGCCCACCAAGGCGACGAUCCGUAGCUGGUCUGAGAGGAUGAUCAGCCACACUGGGACUGAGACACGGCCCAGACUCCUACGGGAGGCAGCAGUGGGGAAUUUUGGACAAUGGGCGCAAGCCUGAUCCAGCCAUGCCGCGUGAGUGAAGAAGGCCUUCGGGUUGUAAAGCUCUUUCGGCCGGGACGAAAUCGCACCCUUUAAUACGGGGUGUGGAUGACGGUACCGGAAGAAGAAGGACCGGCUAACUACGUGCCAGCCGCCGCAGUAA
rnacentral:rRNA from 1 species